rnacentral:rRNA from 1 species
GUCCACACCAUAAACGAUGGACACUAGGUAUGGGGAGUAUCGACCCUCUCCGUGCCGAAGCUAACGCGUUAAGUGUCCCGUCUGGGAACUACGGCCGCAAGGCUAAAACUCAAAGGAAUUGACGGGGCCCGCACAAGCAGCGGAGCGUGUGGUUUAAUUCGAUGCAAAACGAAGAACCUUACCAAGGCUUGACAUGCUGGAAGUAGUGAACCGAAAGGGGAUCGACCUGUUAAGUCAGGAGCCAGCACAGGUGCUGCAUGGCUGUCGU